rnacentral:rRNA from 1 species
AUUGAACGCUGGCGGCAGGCCUAACACAUGCAAGUCGAACGAGUGGCGGACGGGUGAGUAAUGUUUGGGAAACUGCCCGAUGGAGGGGGAUAACUACUGGAAACGGUCGCUAAUACCGCAUACCAUCGGAUGUGCCCAGAUGGGAUUAGCUUGGAGGUGUGGUGACGGCUCACCUAGGCGACGAUACCUAGCUGGUCUGAGAGGAUGACCCGCCACACUGGAACUGAGACACGGUCCAGACUCCUACGUGAGGCAGCAGUGGGGAAUAUUGCACAAUGGACGCAAUCCUGAUGCAGCCAUGCCGCGUGUAUGAAGAAGGCCUUCGGGUUGUAAAGUACUUUCAGCGGGGAGGCGUUACCCGCAGAAGAAGCACCGGCUAACUCCGUGCCAGCAGCCGCGGUAAUUC